AGAUUAGGCUUUAGAUUGUAAAUCUUAAAACUUUUUUUUUAUGUUAUGUGUUCUUAAUUUUAUGAUUUUAUCCUUCAAUUUAAAUUUAUAUUUGUUAGAUCUGUUGAAUUUGUUGCCUUUGUUUUUGAAUUGAAAAAUGUUUGGAUGUCAUUUGCGUAGACGGAAAGUGAUUGGACGCAUAAGGCUGGGUAUGUGGUGGUUAUGCAAGAAGAUUGGUUGAUGUUUAUGAGCUUUUUUUGAAACUUUGGUCCAUGAGGCUGCGCUGGCCGCCGUGAG